UGAGGUACACAGUUGAAGGAGACGGUAUGCCAUAACAUUUGAAGCAAUUAGUUAGGGAAGGAGAUCAUAUCGUGCCACCUGAUAAGAUCUGAUGAAUCUUUGUAGAUUGGUGACCUGGAGCAUGAACUAGAGGAAACAAGAAGGAAGUGCUCUCAGCUCGCAGCUGAGCUGCAGUUGCGGAGGAGCCAGCAACAACAUUACAUGUGAAGGUUAUUUUUACUACUUCUGACAGGGCCUAAACUAUGGGAGCCAAACUCCUGGAAAUAUGUGGUUUCAUCAAAGCACAAAUACUGAACAGCGAUACGGAUAGUAUGGUUGCUCAUACGUAUACAAAUGAUCAAUGCAAUCGGUAUAGUUGCCCUCUUCAAGGGAGAUCUUCAGUGUGAAGUUACUCUGUUUUCUUUUCUUUUCUGUUCUUGUGUGGUGCUGGCCGCCACUGUUAGCUAUGGUGUGGUGUGGUUGCAGCACGUACAGUUCACUGUAAUAUACACUAUGUGUUA